UACGAAGGGGGGCUAGCGUUGCUCGGAAUUACUGGGCGUAAAGCGCACGUAGGCGGCUUUCUAAGUCGGAGGUGAAAUCCUGGAGCUCAACUCCAGAACUGCCUUCGAUACUGGAGAGCUUGAGUCCGGGAGAGGUGAGUGGAACUGCGAGUGUAGAAGUGAAAUUCGUAGAUAUUCGCAAGAACACCAGUGGCGAAGGCGGCCAACUGGUCCGGUACUGACGCUGAGGUGCGAAAGCGUGGGGAGCAAACAGG
rnacentral:rRNA from 1 species